rnacentral:rRNA from 1 species
UACGUAGGGUGCAGGCGUUAAUCGGAAUUACUGGGCGUAAAGCGUGCGCAGGCGGUCUGCUAAGAGAGAUGUGAAAUCCCCGGGCUCAACCUGGGAACUGCAUUUGUGACUGCAUCGCUGGAGUGCGGCAGAGGGGGAUGGAAUUCCGCGUGUAGCAGUGAAAUGCGUAGAUAUGCGGAGGAACACCGAUGGCGAAGGCAAUCCCCUGGGCCUGCACUGACGCUAAUGCACGAAAGCGUGGGGAGCAAACAGG